GAUGAAGAACGCAGCGAAAUGCGAUACUUGGUGUGAAUUGCAGAAUCCCGUGAACCAUCGAGUUUUUGAACGCAAGUUGCGCCCGAAGCCAUUAGGCCGAGGGCACGUCUACCUGGGCGUCACACGUCGUUGCCCCUCCCAACCCCUUCGGGAGUUGGCUGGGACGGAUGAUGGCCUCCCGUGCGCUCCGUCGCGCGGUUGGCAUAAAUAACGAGUCCUCGGCGGCCAACGCCGCGACAAUCGGUGGUUGUCAAACCUCGGUGUCCUGUCGCGCGCGCGUCGUCCGGGGCUUUUUCCAAUCUAAUGCGCGUCGAUUCGUCGGCGCUUUCAACGCGACCCCAGGUCAGGCGGGGUUACCCGCUGAAUUUAAGCAUAUCAAUAAGCGGAGGA
rnacentral:misc_RNA from 1 species